rnacentral:lncRNA from 1 species
GGGGGUGGGGGCAUCAAGUGAGAUGGAGGAAGUAUGAUUAUAAGUCUUAAAGCCUGAGCUUUUAACUGCAGAAGAGCCAGAGCCUUGUCAUUUCAGUGUUGACCAUUUCAGUGCCUGGUAGGCCACGCCCUGAGUUAUUUCAUGUGGCUGCCACUGACCAGAACAUUAUGGGGAACCUUUCUCCUUCCAUUGCUUUCCUAGGCCAUUGGAGCCAUUCAGAUACAUCUGAUGCCAUUACUCUCUGGUCACCCUGAACUGUCCCUUUAAACUCAGCACCAUCCCCUUCGAUUCCCCUUUUCUGGACUCAGUUUGAUUCUAAACUCUGUUUUCACUACUUUCAAAAAGUCAGACAUAAUCUGCAACAGAGCUUUGCCACCCCGAGACAUUCAGGAGACUGUGCUACAGGCCCUGGAGGGAGCUCCCAGCAGCAGCAACCGCCUGAUUGGAUCAAGGGAAGGCCCCUGAGGUGCCUCUCUGAGGGCUGGGACUCACCAGGAUGGAUGCGUUCUGGACUGUGUGUUUCAGAAUCAGUAUUUGUUAUCUUUCUAGUCAUGCCUUGUAGGGUUCUGAGAUGCAGGGUGGAUGGCAGGCCUGGGUAGGAUCCUGAGGACCCGAGGGCCUCUUGCCUUCAUGGGGCUGGUGUGUGCUCAGGGGAAGCCCAUCCCCGUCUGGGGGAGCCCUGGCCUUUUGGUGGGUGGCACGCUCCCCUUUACUUGAAGCUCCCAGGUGCCAAACCAUUUAGUGCCUUGGCUGUGUAUCCCACUGCCUUGGAAGAUGGAUUCUUCUCAUCUCUGAGCCUUGACUCACUUAGCCGCUUCUUCAUCUACCUGUGGUGUUGGGACCAAGCCUCCAGUGGCUCUAAGUAGCCCAGGCCUAGCUUGGGAGCAGCUCUAGGGCUGUCCUGCCUCCUGGUAAGACCAUCACCAGUUCUUGGUGGCUUGGCUGGGGGAAUAGCUGUGCUCACUGGGCAGCGCUGGUGAAUCCUCUGGUUCUGUGACACACUCUGAGGCAAAGAAGGGAUGGGAAGCUCUGCCCCUCUCUGGCGACCCCAGCAUUUAGCCAACUGAGUAUCUGCACUUGAGCUUUCUAAAUGACAAAUCCUGGACUUGGUAUUUUAAGAGCUCUCUGUUUCCACUGGAGAGUCAGGGGGAGACUCAUUAGACUGCAAAUCAUGACACAAGUCAUCUGGGUACUCUGCUGUCCAGGGAGGAGACGCCGAGGAGCAGAGUGGGGUAAUGUCGGUCUUGUGUGCAUGGGCAUCCCUUAGCUUCAGAGCCACCAACGGUGCUUGCUUCUCCCUUCCUGCCAGAUAUUGUCUGUGGACCAAGUGUUUUGGACGCACUCAUCCAAGCCUCGUGUCAUGGGAAGGCCUGGCCUCACACUCUUUCAUGCUAAUGGGGCUUCUGACCCAGGUUUCUUUUUCUUGAGCAGCCUGAGACCAGUAGGGGCAGAGAGACGGGAGUCUGUAUAAGGAAGAUGCAAGUGUUGCGACCCCAGAUGUCCUUUGAUUUGGAAUGGAUAGGAUAAGCUCUCGAAGAGGUCGUGUGGACGCUGGCUUCCUGCAGAUGCUGGGCUUAGGAUUGAGCGCUUGUCUCCACACCCAGGGUGGGUUGCCAGUCUCUCAUUAGGCCACUAGGUCAGGCUGAAGGCUUGCACGCUCCUCAGAGUCGUUGGGAAGCAGGAGGGACUGGAGCCCAGCUGCUUUCUGCAUCACCUCCUUUGCUGUCCUUGUGCGCCUUUCCUUGACUUAGCAGCCUAGACCUGUGCUAGCACCCAAGGCCAUUGCAGGAUGGAUUUUCCUCUGCCCUGGAGUCUCCCCGCUGCCUGUCAGCGAUGCCACAGCUCUGCUGGGAAGGGCCGACUGGACUUCUCUACCAUUCCUGCUCUUCACCCUGUGCUCAGGGUGGAGUAGGGGAGACAGUCUUGGUAUCAGAUGAACCAAGGAGAGAGGUUGGGAAGAUCACCGUGGAGCCUAGAGCUCAGAGUCCCCUUGAUCUUUUGUCUCUGGGCCUUCUACUACCCUCCUCGGGCCAGGUGGCUGGUGUUACAGAUCAGCUUCUUUGCUGCUC